rnacentral:rRNA from 1 species
GACAGAGGAUGCAAGCGUUAUCCGGAAUGAUUGGGCGUAAAGCGUCUGUAGGUGGCUUUUAAGUCCGCCGUCAAAUCCCAGGGCUCAACCCUGGACAGGCGGUGGAAACUACCAAGCUGGAGUACGGUAGGGGCAGGAGGUCGAAUUUCCGGUGGAGCGGUGAAAUGCGUAGAGAUCGGAAAGAACACCAACGGCGAAAGCACUCUGCUGGGCCGACACUGACACUGAGAGACGAAAGCUAGGGGAGCGAAUGGGAUUAGAACCUACCGGAGUCAGUCCAAGA